UUCAUGAGAUUUAAUGAGAGCAACCUCCCGUGCUAUGUACAAAUCUCGACACCCUGCCAUGUUAUUUUGGUGCACUAACACUAUCUACUCUGGUGACCAAGCCAGGCUAUGCUACUCAACGCAAGAAACAGGCCACCCCACAAUUAAGUGAUGGAAAAAGAGAUCUCCCGAGUCGCGCCACAGACUCACUUAUAUAUACAGUUUAACAACUUGGCCUCUCAUAAACUUUUUUAUCAACGCUAAUCUAAAACCUACAUCUUCAA